rnacentral:rRNA from 1 species
UGCUCUCUCUCUUAGGAUCGGUCGGCAUCCCGGCCUGCGCGGUGGAUUAGACUCAACUAACCAGAACCGACGAUUGUGCGCGCGUUGUUUGGUUUAACUGCCGACUAUAAUUCUUCUGUGCAUGCCGUCCAGCCGUUCUUAGCGUUGGUUAGCCGGUACCUGCCUGCCGCGACGAUGCAGGCUGCGCCUGUCGACUUACUUAGUAGUGAAGUAGUCAUCACCCACGUUCGUGGUAGGUACCGCCGGUACAGCAGGAAGGCGGAGGAAGGGGAGCGCGACGACGAGGAGGACGAGCGGUACCGCGUGCGCGCCGACGUCGGGUGGUAGGCCGACGGCAGCCUGCUGCCGAGGCAGCCCUGGUCCACCCGGCAGGAGCAGCGGCCGAGGUUGCCGAUGAUGUUGAUGGCGGUGGUCCGCCUAUAAACGGUGCGGAUGGUCUAUAACUUCUUCCCACCGGAGUUCCUACUCUUGUAGUAGCAGAAGUACAUGCUACUGUAACGCGUGUUGGACCUCUUGGGUUCCGGCCCGCAGUAGUAGUUGGUGGGGGUCCCACCUCUACAGAUACGACCCCAGGGAUUCCUGAUGUGACCCUUCCUCCAAUUACAGUUCUUGAACAAACGACAGGAAGAGCCAUUAUUUUGGCGACACUCACCACCCUCACCGUUUCAGCACCUGUCACCGGGAUUACUAGUGUAAAAACACAAAAUGUCACUGGUACCCCCAGGACCCCAGUAACCCUACGGAUGGAUAGGUAUGCAAAUGCCACUGCUAGAACAUCUACAGGACUUCUUUUUCGUGCGACGACCUUGGAUGUUUUCGGACCAUAAAAUAGAACUUCGGACGCUUCGACCCUCGCAGAAACUCCCCGAAGACGGUUUACUGUAGCCACAGAUACGCUGGUGGCGCAGCUUGCGCCUCCUCUCGUCAACCCCUUGCAUAACGGGACCGCUCAUGGGAUCGGGAGGCAGGCUUAUACUGUGGACGAACCCGCUGGACAUGUCGUAAAGAACCUACCUCCUGUCACUACAUGUGUUGGACUCUUGACUUAGAGAGUUCGUCGUCAUACUGGACCAGUUCUUCUCUUGCCGUCGAGUCCUGAGUAUGUCGAUACCAAGGGUACACUACGUUAUGCCAAGAAACCUAGACUUACUAGUUGUAGAGAAGAAUAUGUAACCCAGUUUAGGACGAUUACUGUUGUGAUGUAAACAACUUCUAUUGAGUGACGGCAGGAAGAGUUCUCGACAAUUAGUCUCCCUACGACUAGAACAAAUAAAGACCGUGUUCAUGGUCUUUAACCGACUCUCGAGGGGACUCUUUUUGCUACGAGCCUUCGUUAACGAGCUCUACUACCCAGUAUCUAGAGUAUAACUGUUGUCGCAGCUCGACUAACCUUUGGAAGACAAACCAAAACGCCUACCAGGUUACCAGGACUUCUGGUAAGCGGGUCGACCGCUCGGAGAACGACUACUGACCUCAACAGAGUUCAGAUGCCACGCACGAAAACUUAGUGUUACACCGAGCAACCGCGUCAUACCUUACUUCGUGUACGCCAGGAAACGUUUGUAGACGUUACGGCCGUAGGAAGGACUUCGCUACCACUUCCACCGGCGAGUCCGCACGUGGUCGUAGGGUUGGUUGGGUACCUCACGGUGUGUGUCUCCAAAAUCACGAAUUUGGUAUCAACUUCGUUGAGUCGGUGAUAAAGUCGAUAACAUGGUAUAUGGUUUCAGUGAAGGAUAAGAGUGUCUCAAUCAUGUAUCACGAACUUGCUUGGAAUCUACAUCUACUUAUUCUUAAUACGGGAAUAAAGACGAUAAGGUGGUGUGGUUACAUAGGAGAAACACGGGUUGAAUAUUACAUGUAUAUGUUUUCAUCUUUCCACUCAACUACACUAACAACAUGUAUGAGUACUAUCAAACACUAGUCUACACAUCGAGCGUUGAGGUAUAUACUUCUUACGUUCGCGAGGAUAAAGAUGCAUCUGACACAUUAGAGUAUGGUACUCGACAAUAAAAGGUUAGG